rnacentral:tRNA from 1 species
GCCGGCGUAGCUCAGGGGUAGAGCAGCUGAUUCGUAAUCAGCAGGUCAAGGGUUCGAUUCCCUUCGCCGGCUCCA